GAGUGCGGCUGCUAUACUGCAGUCGAGCGGACUUGAGAGAAGCUUGCUUUUUGGAUUGUUCGCGGCGGAGGGGUGAGUAACACGUAUGCACCCUGCCCUCAAGUUUGGGACAUCUACCCCAAACGGGAUCUCAUACCCAAUAUUUGUUUUCUUCCCCUGUGGAGAACUGAAGAGACAGACAAUUCUGUCUCUUGGGGGUGGGCCUGCGGCGCGUUAUAUAUUUGGUGGGGUAACGGCUCCCCAAGGCGACAAUACGUAUCCYACCUGAGAGGGUGAUCGGCCACACUGGGACUGAGACACGGCCCASACUCCUACGGGAGGCGGCAGUAGGGAAUCUUCCGCAAUGGGCGAAAGCCUGACAGAGAAAUGCCCCGUGAGUGAUGAAGGUUUUCGGAUCGUAAAGCUCUGUUGCCACGGAAAAACGCUUGGUAGAGUAACUGCUCUCAAAGUGGACGGUACCKGAGAAAAAAGCCCCGGCUAACUACGUGCCAGCAGCCGCGGUAAUACGUAGGGGGCAAGCGUUGUCCGGAAUUAUUGGGAGUAAAGCGCGCGCAGGCGGUCAUUUAUGUCUGGUGUUUAAUCCCGGGGCUCAACCCCCGGAUCGCACUGUAAAGUGGGUGACUUGAGUGCAGAAGAGAGAGAGAGGAAUUCCACGUGUAGCGGUGAAAUGCGUAAAUAUGUGGAGGAACACCAGUGGCGAAGGCGACUCUCUGGGCUGUGACUGACRCUGAGACGCGAAAGCGUGGGGAGCAAACAGGAUUAUAUACCCUGAGUACUCCACGCCGUAAACGAUGAGUGAUAGGUGUUAUGGGGUUUCGAUACCCCUUGGUGCCGAAGAUAACACAUUAAGCACUCCCCCUGGGGAGUACGGUCGCAAGACUGAAACUCAAAAGGAAUUGACGGGGACCCCCACAAGCAGWGGAGUAUGUGGUUUAAUUWGAAGCAACGCGAAGAACCUUACCUGGUCUUGACAUCCCUAUGACCGAUGCAGAGAUAGAUUUUUCCUUGGCGGACACGAGGAAACAGGUGGCGCAUGGUUGUCGUCAGCUGUCGUCGUGAGAUGUUGGGUUAAGUCCCCCAACGAGCACCACCCUUAUAUUUAGUCRCCAGCACUUCGGGUGGACACUUUAGAUAGACCCCCGGUCACAAACCGGGAGAAGGGGGGGAAGGUGUCAAAUUCUCAUCCCCCUUAUCACCUGGGCCACACACGUUCCACAAUGGCCGGCAGCACGGGGUGAGAAAUCGAUAGAGGGAGCCUAUCCCAACAAACCCGGUCUCAGUUGGGAUCGCAGUGUGCAACUCGCGCGCAAGAAGUGGGAAUUUAUAGUAAUCGGGGAUCCGCAUGCCGCGGAGAAUACGUUCCGGGGUUUUGUACACCCCCCCCGUCACCCCAAGAGAGUUUAUCACACCAGAAGUCGGGGGUGUAACCGCAAGGAGCCAGCCGCCGAAGGUGAUACAUUU
rnacentral:rRNA from 1 species